rnacentral:tRNA from 1 species
GUCCACUUGGUCUAGGGGCAUGAUUCAUCCUUAGGGUGGAUGAGGUCCGGGGUUCGAUUCCCCGAGUGGACC